rnacentral:rRNA from 1 species
AAUAGAUACCCGGGUAGUCCACGCCGUAAACGAUGAGUGCUAAGUGUUAGAGGGUUUCCGCCCUUUAGUGCUGCAGCUAACGCAUUAAGCACUCCGCCUGGGGAGUACGGCCGCAAGGCUGAAACUCAAAGGAAUUGACGGGGGCCCGCACAAGCGGUGGAGCAUGUGGUUUAAUUCGAAGCAACGCGAAGAACCUUACCAGGUCUUGACAUCCUCUGCUAACCCUAGAGAUAGGGCGUUCCCCUUCGGGGGACAGAGUGACAGGUGGUGCAUGGUUGUCGUCAGCUCGUGUCGUGAGAUGUUGGGUUAAGUCCCGCAACGAGCGCAACCCUUGAUCUUAGUUGCCAGCAUUCAGUUGGGCACUCUAAGGUGACUGCCGGUGACAAACCGGAGGAAGGUGGGGAUGACGUCAAAUCAUCAUGCCCCUUAUGACCUGGGCUACACACGUGCUACAAUGGAUGGUACAAAGAGCUGCGAACCCGCGAGGGUAAGCCAAUCUCAUAAAGCCAUUCUCAGUUCGGAUUGUAGG